UAACACGUAUGCAAUCUGCCCCUAACUGGAAGAUAGCCCGGCGAAAGUCGGAUUAAUAUUCCAUAACAUUGCGAAACGGCAUCGUUUUGUAAUUAAAGCUCCGGCGGUUAGGGAUGAGCAUGCGCGACAUUAGCUAUAUGGCGAGGUAACGGCUCACCAUGGCUACGAUGUCUAGGGGGUCUGAGAGGAUUAUCCCCCACACUGGUACUGAGACACGGACCAGACUCCUACGGGAGGCAGCAGUAGGGAAUAUUGGGCAAUGGACGCAAGUCUGACCCAGCCAUGCCGCGUGCAGGAUGACGGCCCUAUGGGUUGUAAACUGCUUUUGUACAGGAAGAAACCCCUUUACGUGUACAGGGCUGACAUUACUGUAAGAAUAAGGAUCGGCUAACUCCGUGCCAGCAGCCGCGGUAAUACGGAGGAUCCAAGCGUUGUCCGGAUUUAUUGGGUUUAAAGGGUGCGUAUGCGGACCAUUAAGUCAGAGGUGAAAGUUUGCAGCUUAACUGUAAAAUUGCCUUUGAAACUGGUGGUCUUGAGUACAGUUGAGGUGGGCGGAAUGUGUCAUGUAGCGGUGAAAUGCUUAUAUAUGAUACAGAACACCGAUUGCGAAGGCAGCUCACUAAACUGUAACUGACGCUGACGCACGAAAGCGUGGGGAGCGAACAGGAUUAGAUACCCUGGUAGUCCACGCCCUAAACGUUGAAUACUCGUUGUUGGCGAUAUACAGUCAGCGACUAAGCGAAAGCAUUAAAUAUUCCACCUGGGGAGUACGACCGCAAGGUUGAAACUCAAAGGAAUUGAC
rnacentral:rRNA from 1 species